rnacentral:rRNA from 1 species
AGUGAACGCUGGCGGUAGGCCUAACACAUGCAAGUCGAACGGCAGCACAGUAAGAGCUUGCUCUUACGGGUGGCGAGUGGCGGACGGGUGAGGAAUACAUCGGAAUCUACCUUUUCGUGGGGGAUAACGUAGGGAAACUUACGCUAAUACCGCAUACGACCUACGGGUGAAAGCAGGGGAUCUUCGGACCUUGCGCGAUUGAGUGAGCCGAUGUCGGAUUAGCUAGUUGGCGGGGUAAAGGCCCACCAAGGCGACGAUCCGUAGCUGGUCUGAGAGGAUGAUCAGCCACACUGGAACUGAGACACGGUCCAGACUCCUACGGGAGGCAGCAGUGGGGAAUAUUGGACAAUGGGCGCAAGCCUGAUCCAGCCAUACCGCGUGGGUGAAGAAGGCCUUCGGGUUGUAAAGCCCUUUUGUUGGGAAAGAAAAGCAGCAGGUUAAUACCCCGCUGUUCUGACGGUACCCAAAGAUUAAGCACCGGCUAACUUCGUG